CCUACGGGGGGCGGCAGUGAGGAAUAUUGGGCAAUGCCCGCAAGGGUGACCCAGCAACGCCGCGUGGAGGAUGAAGGCCGUAAGGUCGUAAACUCCUGUUAGAGGGGAAGAAUAGUACCGGUUGGACCGGUAUAUGACUGUACCCUCAGAGAAAGCCCCGGCUAACUACGUGCCAGCAGCCCCGGUC
rnacentral:rRNA from 1 species